UACGUAGGGUGCAGGCGUUAAUCGGAAUUACUGGGCGUAAAGCGUGCGCAGGCGGUUUCUUAAGUCAGAUGUGAAAGCCCCGGGCUUAACCUGGGAACUGCGUUUGAAACUGGGAGACUUGAGUGUGGCAGAGGGGGGUGGAAUUCCGACGUGUAGCAGUGAAAUGCGCAGGAUAUCAGGAGGAACACCAAUAGGCGAAGGCAGCACUCUGGGACGUGACUGACGCUGAGACGCGAAAGCGUGGGUAGCAAACAGG
rnacentral:rRNA from 1 species